ACACAUGCAGUCGAACGGAGAAUCAGCAAUGGUUCUUAGUGGCGAACGGGUGAGUAACGCGUAGACAACCUGCCUCAAAGAUGGGGACAACACCGCGAAAGUGGUGCUAAUACCGAAUGUUGCAUUGGAUUCGCAUGAAUCUGAUACUAAAGGUGGCCUCUUUAAAUGCUACCGCUUUGAGAUGGGUCUGCGUCUGAUUAGCUAGUUGGUGAGGUAACAGCUCACCAAGGCGAUGAUCAGUAGCCGGUCUGAGAGGAUGAACGGCCACACUGGGACUGAGACACGGCCCAGACUCCUACGGGAGGCAGCAGUGGGGAAUCUUCCGCAAUGGACGAAAGUCUGACGGAGCAACGCCGCGUGAGUGAAGAAGGUUUUCGGAUCGUAAAGCUCUGUCUUUGAGGACGAAUGUACUUAAUGUAAAUAAUGUUAAGUAAUGACGGUACUCGAGGAGGAAGCCACGGCUAACUACGUGCCAGCAGCCGCGGUAAUACGUAGGUGGCAAGCGUUGUCCGGAAUUAUUGGGCGUAAAGCGCGCGCAGGCGGGAUAUUAAGUCUGUCUUAAAAGUUCGGGGCUCAACCCCGUGAUGGGAUGGAAACUAAUAUUCUUGAGUGCAGGAGAGGAAAGUGGAAUUCCCAGUGUAGCGGUGAAAUGCGUAGAUAUUGGGAGGAACACCAGUGGCGAAGGCGACUUUCUGGACUGUGUCUGACGCUGAGGCGCGAAAGCCAGGGGAGUGAACGGGAUUAGAUACCCCGGUAAUCCUGGCCGUAAACGAUGGGUACUAGGUGUAGGAGGUAUCGACCCCUUCUGUGCCGGAGUUAACGCAAUAAGUACCCCGCCUGGGAGUACGGCCGCAAGGUUGAAACUCAAAGGAAUUGACGGGGGCCCGCACAAGCGGUGGAGUAUGUGGUUUAAUUCGACGCAACGCGAAGAAUCUUACCAGGACUUGACAUCGAUUGAAAGUUCUAGAGAUAGAACUCUUCUCUUCGGAGAACAAGAAGACAGGUGGUGCAUGGCUGUCGUCAGCUCGUG
rnacentral:rRNA from 1 species